GAUGAACGCUGGCGGCGUGCCUAAUACAUGCAAGUCGAGCGAACAGACGAGGCGCUUGCUCCUCUGACGUUAGCGGCGGACGGGUGAGUAACACGUGUAUAACCUACCUAUAAGACUGGGAUAACUUCGGGAAACCGGCGCUAAUACCGGAUAAUAUAUUGAACCGCAUGGUUCAAUAGUGAAAGACGGUUUUGCUGUCACUUAUAGCUGGUUACGCGCCGCUUUAGCUAGUUGUUAAGGUAACGGCUUUUCAAGGCAACCAUGCGUAGGCGACCUGAUAGGGUGAUCGGCCACACUGGAGCUGAGACACGGUCCAGACUCCUACGGGAGGCAGCAGUAGGGAAUCUGCCGCAAUGGGCGAAAGCGUGACGGAGUAACGGCGCGUGAGUGAUGAAGGUCUCCGGAGCGUAAAACUCUGUUAUUAGGGAAGAACAAAUGUGUAAGUAACUAUGCACGUCUUGACGGUACCUAAUCAGAAAGCCACGGCUAACUACGUG
rnacentral:rRNA from 1 species